GUGAUCAUUCGGGUCGUUAGAUGUUCUGGACAUUGAAUUUGUUGUUAGCGAUGCGUACUGUUAACGAAUGGAUUCAGUGAACCAUAUUAAAGUUUUCAUUAACAUCACCGAUCCACUCAUCCCACAACUUUUCAUUCAAUGCACCUCUUAUCUCAAUGUUUGUAGAUCUCGAUCUAUAAAUAAGCGAGUUUGGAGUUGUGAAGAUCAUCACUUUCUUCUUUGUCAUUGUAAUCUUCACAAAUUCGUCAUCCCGGAAUGGCUAUUUCUUCCCAUCAGGGUCAUCGGGAUAAUCACUGACUGUUACACUUCCUCUCAAUUCGUAAGCAACCACAUGCAAAUCCUUGGCAAACCCAUGAUCCAGAGAACUUGGGAGAGUUUGGUGUUAUCUUCUACUCUCGAUAACUUUGGUAAUGUUGCUCCUCUCUACUCUUUUUGGUUACAUACAUAAGAAAGUUGUGAACUUUAUGAAUCAAAGGCCUUUUUUUGUAAACUUAUUGGUAAUAGCUCAGAUAAGAAGAACACAUGGAUGAUGGUUCUGAACAAAAGUUUCAAUGGCCACCGCUUCUGUCAUUAUGACUGAGUGAACGUGUCCACCUUAUCUGUGACACUUUUCACACCUUAUCUGAAGAGAUUGUCUCUUCUCCUUAUAACCGCGUUUGAAUAUAUAUAUCUCGGAGAAGGAAGGAGGCCCAGAAAGAGCAGAAGCCUCCUUUUAUACGAUCUCCAGCACACACACUGGUGAGUGCCUCCAUGCAAAUUGUAGAUUUUCUCAUGGGAGCCAGUAAGAUGGAGUCGAUGUUGGAUGGUCAAACUUAUCAGAUAUGAACGUUCGUUCACGAGGGAAAGCUUCUUGGUUGCUCAUAUAUUCAAAACUGUGUAGGCGUAGACUUGUCGCGCCACUCAGUCAAAUUUUCAUCCAGAGAGAAUCUCGGGCUCAGGCAGAGAUCAACCAGUUCUGAAUGAUAACAGCUCAAAGUUUACUCUCAAAAAUGGUUCUUAGGAAGUGAAACAAAAGUCUCAUGGAAGAUUAUCAGUUUCGCAAAACCCAAAGGAGGCAAAGUCUACUGGAAGGUCAUCAGUAUCUCAAAGUUCAGAUCCUUUAUAAAGGAACCAAAGCCUCUUGGAAGUUUGUCAGUUAAUCAUAGCUCAGACGCAGUUAAAGAGUCAUUAACCUCGUCAUCCACAGGAAGUACAUCAGGCUCUCCUCGUAGGGUCACAUUAACAAGUUCUCCAAAAGUUGCUUCUGGUGUUUCUACGGUUGUCUCUACUGCUGCAGUUUCAAAGAGGGAUUUUGCAAAAGAUAACUUAAAAGGCAAAUCUUCCAGUAGUCAAUAAAGGGGAUUUUUUCCCAGUAAUUGUUCCCAGAUCGGACCCAGUGAUUGAGCAGAGACUGUUGAAUCCAGAGCAGAACUCGACAUUAUUGGAAGAACUAUGCCAUAUUCGUUGCAGUCCAAGGCGGCUGAUUCUAGAAGGCUGUCUAGCAUCAGAAAUGUGCCGGAUCUACCAACUGAUUCUCUUAUUGAAAGGUCUCAGUCUCAACCUAUAGAGCCAAGCAAUUCACAAGACGGAAAUACAUUUACAAGUGACGAAUGUGGCACAUGGGAUACAGCUGAGAGGAGAAAUAUAGACAACGGAUACAGAGGAUUUGGAAGGUUUAAUUCAAGAACUUUGCUGACAUCACCUCCAAGAAAUCAUGACGAAAACUGUUGGUGGCCGGUGGGAAUCGAGAAGUACGCAAGAAAGAUUGUUUUAGCUGGAGGGAACACUGAUGAUGGUGUUCUCGACGCGCCGCCCCGCGGGAUUCGAAGAUACUACUGUCGUGUGCCAGUGUUGUACGAAUCAUGGCUGUUAGUUUAUUUAUUGUUGUAGAAAUGUGAUUCAUGGGAUCGAAAGAGAACCACAAGAUCGUUCCAGAUGUAGAUUUGGUCCUUAUUACAUUUACUAGAGAUUUUACCCGGGCUACGCCCGGGGUUAUAUACAACUAACAUUUUUUCUAUUAUCUAAAAUAUGUAUGGGAUAGUGAACAAUGUGAAAUUAAUAAAAAAACUUUUUAAACC